rnacentral:lncRNA from 1 species
AAAACACCAACAACAAAGUCAGUUAAUGGGAAUGUUUUUGCUUUAGCAGGAUAGAUUUGGGGAAGACAACGAGAGGAAACUGCUUUAAGUGCUGAUCUCUGUCACCUGCUUAGAAGCAGCGAGCGAGCCGAGACAGUAGGCAGAAAAAUGAUUGUCCUUAUGCAGUCUGGUUUUAAGUACACCUGAUCUUUGGAAAGAACGGGAUCAUUCUGAACAUCACAUGAUGAAGAGAGUUGACAGCAUUAUUGCAAACCACAUAGACCUCUACAACAGGGACAUUUGUAUUAUUUAAGGACAUCUAUCAGAUAACAUUUGCUCAGGUUAUGUUGUGGAAUGGUGUCAUCAGAAAUCCCAGGAUGGAAUGGAAACCAAGAUUCCAUGAAUUCAAGACUUGUAAGAAGAGGGUCUGAGAAUCCAGCCUUUUACAAAUGACAUUUCAUGGUUGGGCUGUAUUAAGGAACCAUUG